rnacentral:rRNA from 1 species
UACGAAGGGUGCAAACGUUGCUCGGAAUUAUUGGGCGUAAAGCGCACGUAGGCGGCCCAGCAAGUCGGAAGUGAAAUCCCACGGCUCAACCAUGGAAGUGCUUUCGAAACUGCUGGGCUUGAGUACAAAAGAGGAUCGCGGAAUUCCCGGUGUAGAGGUGAAAUUCGUAGAUAUCGGGAGGAACACCAGUGGCGAAGGCGGCGAUCUGGGCCAGUACUGACGCUGAGGAGCGAAAGCGUGGGUAGCAAACAGG